rnacentral:rRNA from 1 species
UACGGGGGGGGCAAGCGUUGUUCGGAAUUACGGGGCGUAAAGGGCUCGUAGGCGGCCAACUAAGUCAUACGUGAAAUCCCUCGGCUUAACCGGGGAACUGCGUCUGAUACUGGAUGGCUUGAGUUCGGGAGAGGGAUGCGGAAUUCCAGGUGUAGCGGUGAAAUGCGUAGAUAUCUGGAGGAACACCGGUGGCGAAGGCGGCAUCCUGGACCGAUACUGACGCUGAGGAGCGAAAGCCAGGGGAGCAAACGGG